rnacentral:misc_RNA from 1 species
GCGGACAAAAAAUUUCCUUAUCUUUUUCUCCUCCUGUCAAUAACAUUAUCGUCCCCUUUUGUUUUCUUGAGGUUUCUCCUUCCUAAACGUGUCAGACAAAAUCUUAGCAGAGACCAUGGCUGCCACACUUAGCCUUCUCAAACUUCCAAUCUUGCCCUCAAAACCCAAAUUCAAGAUUUCAAUUCCCAGCUGCAAACAUUCUCCAGUGACUCUUCUGCCACAACAAUGUCAUCAAGAUUCUUACAACCAUCAAAAGUUGCUCCUUCAUGACACCAUUGAACAGCUCAAAUCAGCUUCUCUUCCUCUUACUGCACUCACAUUACCUUUCUUUCUUGAUGCCCAGGAUGCAUUUGCGGCAGGUGGAGAAUUUGGGAUUUUUGAGGGGAGGAGUUUUGCUCUGAUUCAUCCCAUUGUUAUGGGUGGUUUAUUUGUUUACACUUUAUAUGCUGGUUAUCUUGGAUGGCAAUGGAGGAGAGUUAGGACUAUACAAAAUGAGAUUAAUGAGCUCAAGAAGGAAGUUAAACCUGUCGCUGUGACUCCUGAGGGCACCCCUGUUGAAAACCCCAAGCCAUCCCCUGUUGAAGCUAAAAUUCAGCAACUCACUGAGGAGCGGAAGGAGUUAAUCAAAGGUUCAUUCAGGGAUAGACACUUCAAUGCAGGUUCAAUAUUGCUUGGUUUUGGGGUGUCUGAGGCAAUUUUCGGAGGUUUGAAUACCUGGCUUAGGACAGGAAAGUUAUUUCCAGGGCCUCAUUUGUUUGCAGGGGCAGGUAUUACAGUUCUAUGGGCAGUAGCAGCAGCUCUUGUACCAGCAAUGCAAAAGGGAAACGAAACAGCUAGGAGUCUGCACAUAGCUUUGAAUGCAAUAAACGUUAUCCUAUUUGUUUGGCAAAUCCCUACUGGAAUUGA